rnacentral:rRNA from 1 species
CGUUAUUGAACCUUGGGUCUUGUUAGCGGGUGCCUCCCAACGGGGGUUACCAUCGACAGGCAGGGCCUUUCUCCUUGACUAGUCCGGCGUGCCCUUCACUGGGUGUGCCGGGCNAUCGGGACUUUUACUUUGAAAAAAUUAGAGUGUUCANAGCAGGCAUGUGCUCGGAUACAUUAGCAUGGAAUAAUAGAAUAGGACGUUUCGGCUUAUUUUGUUGGUAUUGACCGCCGGCCGUAAUGAUUAAUAGGGAUAAUCGGGGGCNUCANUAUUCAAUUGUCAGAAGUGANAUUCUUGGAUUUAUUGAAGACUAACUACUGCGAAAGCAUUUGCCAAGGAUGUUUUCAUUAAUCAGUGAACGAAAGUUAGGGGAUCNAAGACAAUCAGAUACCGUCGUAGUCUUAACCAUANACUAUGCCGACUAGGGAUCGGGC